rnacentral:tRNA from 1 species
GCACAGAUGGUGGAAUAGGUAGACACGCAGGCUUGAGGUGCUUGUGAAGUAAUUCGUGAGGGUUCGAGUCCCUUUCUGUGCACCA